GACGAACGCUGGCGGCGUGCUUAACACAUGCAAGUCGAACGGAAAGACCCUGCUUUUGUGGGGUGCUCGAGUGGCGAACGGGUGAGUAACACGUGAGUAACCUGCCCUUGACUUUGGGAUAACUUCAGGAAACUGGGGCUAAUACCGGAUAGGAGCUCCUGCUGCAUGGUGGGGGUUGGAAAGUUUCGGCGGUUGGGGAUGGACUCGCGGCUUAUCAGCUUGUUGGUGGGGUAGUGGCUUACCAAGGCUUUGACGGGUAGCCGGCCUGAGAGGGUGACCGGCCACAUUGGGACUGAGAUACGGCCCAGACUCCUACGGGAGGCAGCAGUGGGGAAUAUUGCACAAUGGGCGGAAGCCUGAUGCAGCAACGCCGCGUGCGGGAUGACGGCCUUAGGGUUGUAAACCGCUUUCGCCUGUGACGAAGCGUGAGUGACGGUAAUGGGUAAAGAAGCACCGGCUAACUACGUG
rnacentral:rRNA from 1 species